GACGAACGCUGGCGGCGUGCUUAACACAUGCAAGUCGAACGGAAAGGCCCUGCUUUUGUGGGGUGCUCGAGUGGCGAACGGGUGUGUAACACGUGAGUAACCUGCCCUUGACUUUGGGAUAACUUCAGGAAACUGGGUCUAAUACCGGAUAGGCGCUCCUGCUGCAUGGUGGGGGUUGGAUAGUUUCGGCGGUUGGGGAUGGACUCGCGGCUUAUCAGCUUGUUGGUGGGGUAGUGGCUUACCAAGGCUUUGACGGGUAGCCGGCCUGAGAGGGUGACCGGCCACAUUGGGACUGGGAUACGGCCCAGACUCCUACGGGAGGCAGCAGUGGGGAAUAUGGCACAAUGGGCGGAAGCCUGAUGCAGCAACGCCGCGUGCGGGAUGACGGCCUUCGGGUUGUAAACCGCUUUCGCCGGUGACGAAGCGUGAGUGACGGUAAUGGGUAAAGAAGCACCGGCUAACUACGUG
rnacentral:rRNA from 1 species